rnacentral:lncRNA from 1 species
AUGGAAGUUCUCGGGCCCCGCUGCCUUUCUCAGCCGCAGUCCGUCCAGCGCGGGGAAGGAGCUGGCCCCAGCGGCUGCCACCAAGGGCGGCGGCCUGGAGGAGGCGGCAGCGCCGGGGGCCGGGGCUGGGCCCGGCCUGGCCGCUGUGCUGGGCGCUUGCGAACCCGUUUGUGCCAGCCCCUGCUCCUUGCAGCUGAUGAGCCGCUGCCGAGGGGCAGCUGGGGCCCGCCAGGCCGGAACCGGGGCAGGGGCGCGGGGGGUCGGGCCCGGGGCGCGAGCACCGCAGGCUGGCGACGAGUGGAGUCGCAAGGGCAGCUUUAUCCACAAGCCCCCGCAGGGCUGGCUGCACCCGGACGACAGGGUCCUAGGGCCUGGGGUCUCCUACAUCGUGCGGGGUCUGACUCUCAGAAGGAAACCUCACUUACCCCCAAGUUGCCACCAUGUCCCCUGAGAGAAGAGGACACCCACAAGUAUAGGGUUAGAUACUCUUUUGACUUCCCUUCCCUACAGGUAUCCUCUUUCUUAAUCCCAGUUAGGCCUGAAACCAGGAAAAAAGGCAUAGUCGGGAGGGUGGGGCCUCCAGCCAGUCUCAAAGGGGCUUUUUGGAUCCCCUUUUUCCUGCAGGAAGACCCUCAUCAGGUCAGACUCAUUGUCUAGAAGGGGACACCACUGUAGAAAAGACAAAACCUUAGAAUCUAUGUAUCAUGGAGUGUUGGCAGCUUCUAUUAUCCCUGUUCCCAUGUUCAACCUCUUUCCUUUUCACUGGGAUCUUCUUGUGUGAUUUGGGAUUCUCCCAGCAUGCACCUUUGACCACCUGCCUCCCUUUAACUUCAAAUCAACAAACAUUUAUAUGUAUCUACUCUAUCCAGGCACUAGGUAGAUGAAAACAAAAAAUAGACCCAUCUCUUUCCUCAGAAGCUAGUUUAGAAGCCUGAAAAAGGCGUUCUCUCUCUCUCUCUCUCUCUCUCUCUCUCUCUCUCUCUCUCUCUCCUCUCUCUCUUCUCUCUCUCUCUCUCUCUCCCCCCUCUCUUUCUCUCUCUCUCCUCUCUCUCUCCUCUCUCUCUCUCCUCUCUC